AGGGUGGAGGGGCUGAAUAGGGUGGGAGGGGAUGAUUCGUGAUUGGAGGAGAGGAUACUUUUUUUUAGAUUGGAGGAGCAUGCCGUCAUGGGUAGAGGGGAGUAAAAAAGGAUAGGCGGUAGAGGGGAGGAGGAGCUAAUAACAGAGGGGACUUGAGGUACUUACGCUACGACGGGCGGUGGCGGCUAAACAUGAUCGAGGCCACGAGAGGUCCUGCAGCGAGUGGUCUGGCCUACGGGGAGUUCGGAGUUAGGAGAGGGGGCUAGGAGACGUUGGUGCUGAAGGAUACGCGGUGACGUACGGGGAGAUCGUUGGGAUCGGAGGUACCCAGCGGCUACGCUGAGGGUCCGUCCGGUAGAUGGAGCGCGGCGACCGUCGAGCCCGAGCUACCACGACUAGGCGGAGCCGAUGGAGUGGGGUGGCCGUAGCUGUAUCUACCAAGUCAUUCCGUGAAGAGAGGAGACAAACACCACUGUACAGGUAGUAAAAUACCAGCUGGAAACUGCCUUUAGCGCUAACACUAGAUAAGACGGAUCAUAAUCGGCGGGGUAGCACGAUAAGAUCCAUAAAAACAAAGUACGAAUGUAGAAAGUUACACGUCACGAUAGAUUAAGACAUUUACGUUCGGUUAACAAAUAUGAAACCGACUAGAUAAACCUACAUACCAACUCACGUAUACACAUUCACCAUUAAGACCUUCUUACGAACACAGGAAAAAAAAUUAGAGUUAUCAGGUAACAACGACGAUACACGCACCUACUUAGGAAUGGCUAAAGGAUUAUAAGGAGAAAUAACACAUGUAUUAGGAAUUAAAGUUAAGUAAAUGUCCAAGACUUUGGCCGGAACGAAGUCUGUUGUACACACAUAAACAACCUAAUGUAAGCGUAGCAUCAUCAUCUAGCUAGACAACACGCUAUUUUUAGGUGCGUCCCGGCGUCCUACCAACACUCAAUGGUUUUUUAACAGAGGGAAUUAAUUGAUUAGCGAUACAGUCGAACUUAAUAACUAGGCGGCCGAUACAAGUCACAUUCAAAACCAAACUGGAAAAGUAACGCUACUAACGUCUUACCACACGGCCGUUCGUGAUGUUGUAAUCGGUCGCUGCUGCUCGUUGCAACGUUGUGAAGAGGAGCACGAGUAUACGACACCUCUACGACCGGACGAACUCUACGGGAGCUAGUCACGGUUGAGGCGCCCCCCUUUGAUACCAUGACUGAAGAAACCAACAUUCCAAGACACAAGGGGAUCAUAGAUUCUACCACUUCAAUGACCUACAUCCUUGAUACGAUAUGAUACUGACAUUGUGCAAAACAAUAAAGAACUGAACAAAGGUAUUCUUAAAGUCACGAACUUAGUCUUGGGACAUGCUAAAGUGGAACGAGGUUAAUGAGUUUGUCUUGAAAAUCAUAAGAUGUACCACAACCGAGGGUUGAAGGAAAUUAGUCGUAGACUAAGAAGUGUUUCUAGUAAUUUAUAAAUACAGAGUGUACAAGAAGUAGCCGGUUAAAAAGUACAAUGCUCAAGUCUAUUUGUAGUUAUACGAGUUCCAUUAUGUGGGAUGAAACGUAUCAUUUGGUAUAAUUGGAUAAAACUUACUUUUUGUAGAAACUAUUUGACUUCUACAACAGUGUUUGGAUAUAACCAAAUAUCUAAUGUCUCUCUAACGGGUUAAAUCUUUUCUCUUCUACCUACGGUUCAGCCUGUCAGUACACUACAGACGUCGACUCUAUGACUCUUCAAACACAUUCAUGAGCAGAACGAGAGUUUAUAAUUGAAGAAGCAUGUGCGCGCGAUACAGAUUAUAGAAGAUCGUAAGGGAUAUCUAAAAUACAACUAGAUUUAUAAAAUGAUUUAACUACACAUGUUGACUUAUGCCUCAACGAUUCCCAGGACAUCGAGCCUCUCCGAUUAUAGGGUAAGACAGUUCUAAAUCUGAAGAACAUGAUUUAAAAGGAGAUAAUUAAAACAUGAUUUGUUAAAGGAUCAUAUAUUUAUCUACAGAUUUAACAAUCGUACAUAGUAACACGGAUUAAUUCCGUGUAGGUUCAAACCGGAUCACACUUAAUAAAAGAAAGACGUAUUUCAUAUAAACUUAACAACUUUGAAAUAGAUAAACAUAAAAGACCUCUUGACGUAUAGAAAGUAAUUUUGGUCUCCUACACAACAUACAGUCAUGUACAAAUAAAUUUCCUUCAUGGAUUAAAGGAUGUAAUCAUACGAACGAAAUACCAAAUGCAAUUAAGUUAACUGUAUAUCAUCUAAAAAAAGUAUUCUUUUGUUCCUAGUUUUCACAAACACUCUACAUCCGAUAAUGAGAUGAAAGUCAUGUUUCGAUGAUUACAGUACUGGAAGUUGGAAACAUACAACGAGGAGAUGUAAAAUGAAGGGAUGAUUGGAGUAAAAGAGAUGUCAUUCAAUGAGUAGAGUAAAAAAAUAUCUAAAGGUUCUAUUUACUUACUACGUACCGAGCCUACAACUAAAGUUCCUACCCUUACCCUGAUGAUGAUCAUGAUCUAGGACUCUUACAGUAAAGAUCCUGUAACAAAGCUUGUAAUAUCAACUAACGUUCCAGCUCUUAAACCGCUGAUGAUCUAUCAAAGUGUAGAACAUUAGAAACUUAGCACAAGAAACAUUACGUUGUAUCAACUAAAUUAUAUACUCUGGAAGG
rnacentral:rRNA from 1 species